rnacentral:rRNA from 1 species
GGGGGGGCGUGCUAUAAUGCAAGUCGAGCGGACCGACGGGAGCUUGCUCCCUUAGGUCAGCGGCGGACGGGUGAGUAACACGUGGGUAACCUGCCUGUAAGACUGGGAUAACUCCGGGAAACCGGGGCUAAUACCGGAUGCUUGAUUGAACCGCAUGGUUCAAUCAUAAAAGGUGGCUUUUAGCUACCACUUACAGAUGGACCCGCGGCGCAUUAGCUAGUUGGUGAGGUAACGGCUCACCAAGGCGACGAUGCGUAGCCGACCUGAGAGGGUGAUCGGCCACACUGGGACUGAGACACGGCCCAGACUCCUACGGGAGGCAGCAGUAGGGAAUCUUCCGCAAUGGACGAAAGUCUGACGGAGCAACGCCGCGUGAGUGAUGAAGGUUUUCGGAUCGUAAAACUCUGUUGUUAGGGAAGAACAAGUACCGUUCGAAUAGGGCGGCACCUUGACGGUACCUAACCAGAAAGCCACGGCUAACUACGUGCCAGCAGCCGCGGUAAUACGUAGGUGGCAAGCGUUGUCCGGAAUUAUUGGGCGUAAAGCGCGCGCAGGCGGUUUCUUAAGUCUGAUGUGAAAGCCCCCGGCUCAACCGGGGAGGGUCAUUGGAAACUGGGGAACUUGAGUGCAGAAGAGGAGAGUGGAAUUCCACGUGUAGCGGUGAAAUGCGUAGAGAUGUGGAGGAACACCAGUGGCGAAGGCGACUCUCUGGUCUGUAACUGACGCUGAGGCGCGAAAGCGUGGGGAGCGAACAGAUUAGAUACCCUGGUAGUCCACGCCGUAAACGAUGAGUGCUAAGUGUUUAGAGGGUUUUCGCCCUUUAGUGCUGCAGCAAACGCAUUAAAGCACUCCCGCCCUGGGGGGAGUUACGGUCGGCAAAGG